rnacentral:rRNA from 1 species
UACGAAGGGGGCUAGCGUUGUUCGGAAUUACUGGGCGUAAAGCGCACGUAGGCGGCUUUGUAAGUUAGAGGUGAAAGCCCAGGGCUUAACCCGUGGAAUUGCCUUUAAGACUGCAUCGCUAGAAUUGUGGAGAGGUAAGUGGAAUUCCGAGUGUAGAGGUGAAAUUCGUAGAUAUUCGGAAGAACACCAGUGGCGAAGGCGGCUUUCUGGUCUGUAACUGACGCUGAGGCGCGAAAGCGU